rnacentral:tRNA from 4 species
UUUUUUGGGGAUAGAGGGACUUGAACCCUCACGAUUUUGAAAGUCGACGG